UACGUAGGGGGCAAGCGUUGUCCGGAAUUACUGGGCGUAAAGCGCGUGUAGGCGGGACGGCAAGUCGGACGUGAAAGGCUCGGGCUCAACCCGAGAAGGCCGUUCGAAACUGCCGUUCUUGAGGGUCGAAGAGGAGAGUGGAAUUCCGGGUGUAGUGGUGAAAUGCGUAGAGAUCCGGAGGAAUACCAGAGGCGAAGGCGGCACCCUGGGUCUGACCUGACGCUGAGACGCGACAGCAUGGGGAGCGAACGGG
rnacentral:rRNA from 1 species